rnacentral:lncRNA from 1 species
UAGAUUUUUUAUUGUUCUCCAGGACUGCCAGUGUGGGAAGAAAAGAGUGAAAUAAGCUGCAUUCAGUAGACCUUAGGAGAGAGCAGGACCCAGCUGGGAACCUGACGCCACUUUUGCACAUGCCCUCUGACAGACUGUGAGAAACCAGCCAUGAGACUGGAGCCUGAUCAGAGAGGAAGGCUGAAGCCCGUUGGAAUCCCUGGGACUCAAGAAGAUAAGAAGAGCCCAGCAAAGGUGCAGUCAAGCCCUUCCUCUUUCCCUGCACCUUCCUUGCCUGGCUGCCUUAGCUUUCUCUGCAGGUAACCUAAGCCCAGUGCAGGGUCACAUCUGUGGGUUUGAAGGAGCGCUGCAGGAGGCAUGGGCUACAAGAUAGAUGUCUCAGGGCAGGAAGCCACACUCACACCUAUAGUCCAGGUUGUAGACUUGGAGGCCCAAGAGCUCCGGCUCUUAGCUCCCUGGACCUGGACUUAUCUUAGACUUUCAUGAAUUUUUCCUCUCUGUGCUUGAGCACCUCUUAGUAGCUUCCUAUGGAAGAAUUCAAGAAGAUACAUUUUCUUCACUUUUUCAAGACUCAACAUUCCACGUUUCUUUCUUCAUCAUACUCAAAAAGUAGUUUGGAUACAGAAUCCUCGGCUGAGAGCUAGAAUCUUGAAGGCAUUUCUUUCAAACACUUCUACAGACACAUUGCUACUCAAAGUGUGGUUGUGGCCCAGGGUCAGUCUGCAAACUAUUCAUCAUCCGUUUGUGAAAAGAAGUACAGAAGUUGAGAGUAAGCAUUUUGAAAUUUUGAUCCUGAUUUGAGUUAUUUUGUGUGUGGUGAAAUUGAGAAUAAAACUUGGGGGCAUUUAAUUUGUA